CCUACGGGAGGCAGCAGUGAGGAAUAUUGGUCAAUGGACGAUAGUCUGAACCAGCCAAGUAGCGUGAAGGAUGACUGCCCUAUGGGUUGUAAACUUCUUUUAUAUGGGAAUAAAAUGUUCCACGUAUAGGGUUUUGUAUGUACCAUAUGAAUAAGGAUCGGCUAACUCCGUGCCAGCAGCCGCGGUAAUACGGAGGAUCCGAGCGUUAUCCGGAUUUAUUGGGUUUAAAGGGAGCGUAGGCGGGUUGUUAAGUCAGUUGUGAAAGUUUGCGGCUCAACCGUAAAAUUGCAGUUGAUACUGGCAGUCUUGAGUACAGUAGAGGUGGGCGGAAUUCGUGGUGUAGCGGUGAAAUGCUUAGAUAUCACGAAGAACUCCGAUUGCGAAGGCAGCUCACUGGACUGCAACUGACGCUGAGGCUCGAAAGUGUGGGUAUCAAACAGGAUUAGAUACCCGGGUAGUC
rnacentral:rRNA from 1 species